rnacentral:rRNA from 1 species
GCAUAUCAAUAAGCGGAGGAAAAGAAACUAACAAGGAUUCCCCUAGUAACGGCGAGUGAAGAGGGAAGAGCUCAAAUUUUAAAUCCGCCUUGUUCGCAAGGCCGAGUUGUAAUUUGAAGAAGCGUUUUCUUGGGCUCGCUGCCGGUAGAAGUUCUUUGGAACAGGACAUCAUAGAGGGUGACAAUCCCGUCUGUGACCGGUCGCGCGGUUCAUCUACGAUACGCUUUCAAAGAGUCGAGUUGUUUGGGAUUGCAGCUCCAAACGGGUGGUAAACAUCACCUAAGGCUAAAUAUUGGCGAGAGACCGAUAGCGAACAAGUACCGUGAGGGAAAGAUGAAAAGAACUUUGAAAAGAGAGUUAAACAGUACGUGAAAUUGUUGAAAGGGAAACGAUUGAAGUCAGUCGUGCUGGCGCGAAAUCAGCUCGACCACUCGGGGAUCACGGGCCGUAGCGAGCCUCAAAACCGCUACGACUCGUGAUUUCUUAGUGGCCUGGUGCACUUUCGUGUCGGCUGGUUAACAUCAAUUUCGAUCGUCAUAAAAAGGCUGGAGGGAUGUGGCUCCUUCGGGAGUGUUAUAACCUUUAGCGGAAUGUGGUGGUCGGGAUUGAGGCUUGCAACGAAUACCUUCAGGGCUGUUCCACCUGGCCUCUCAUCGGAAUUCUGGCGGCGACAGCUUGCUGACGUUGUUAGGAUCGGCCUUCGAACAGGCUAGAGUGUGAGCAAAUUCGUUAAGGAUGUUGACGUAAUGGCUUUAAACGA